rnacentral:rRNA from 1 species
AACGAACGCUGGCGGCAUGCCUAAUACAUGCAAGUCGAACGAGAUCUUCGGAUCUAGUGGCGCACGGGUGCGUAACGCGUGGGAAUCUGCCCUUGGGUUCGGAAUAACGUCGGGAAACUGACGCUAAUACCGGAUGAUGACGUAAGUCCAAAGAUUUAUCGCCCAAGGAUGAGCCCGCGUAGGAUUAGCUAGUUGGUAAGGUAAAGGCUUACCAAGGCGACGAUCCUUAGCUGGUCUGAGAGGAUGAUCAGCCACACUGGGACUGAGACACGGCCCAGACUCCUACGGGAGGCAGCAGUAGGGAAUAUUGGACAAUGGGGGCAACCCUGAUCCAGCAAUGCCGCGUGAGUGAUGAAGGCCUUAGGGUUGUAAAGCUCUUUUACCCGGGAUGAUAAUGACAGUACCGGGAGAAUAAGCCCCGGCUAACCCCGUGCCAGCCGCCGCGGUAA